ACCAGGAGGAGAGGAAGUGUCUGUUUUAAUGUGAUAUUCAUCACAGAAUACAGGUGGUCACCAGGAGGAGAGGAAGUGUCUGUUUUAAUGUGAUAUUCAUCACAGAAGACAGGUGUAGUCACCAGGAGGAGAGGAAGUGUCUGUUUUAAUGUGAUAUUCAUCACAGAAUACAGGUGGUCACCAGGAGGAGAGGAAGUGUCUGUUUUAAUGUGAUAUUCAUCACAGAAGACAGGUGUAGUCACCAGGAGGAGAGGAAGUGUCUGUUUUAAUGUGAUAUUCAUCACAGAAGACAGGUGUAGUCACCAGGAGGAGAGGAAGUGUCUGUUUUAAUGUGAUAUUCAUCACAGAAUACAGGUGGUCACCAGGAGGAGAGGAAGUGUCUGUUUUAAUGUGAUAUUCAUCACAGAAUACAGGUGGUCACCAGGAGGAGAGGAAGUGUCUGUUUUAAUGUGAUAUUCAUCACAGAAUACAGGUGGUCACCAGGAGGAGAGGAAGUGUCUGUUUUAAUGUGAUAUUCAUCACAGAAGACAGGUGUAGUCACCAGGAGGAGAGGAAGUGUCUGUUUUAAUGUGAUAUUCAUCACAGAAUACAGGUGGUCACCAGGAGGAGAGGAAGUGUCUGUUUUAAUGUGAUAUUCAUCACAGAAUACAGGUGGUCACCAGGAGGAGAGGAAGUGUCUGUUUUAAUGUGAUAUUCAUCACAGAAUACAGGUGUAGUCACCAGGAGGAGAGGAAGUGUCUGUUUUAAUGUGAUAUUCAUCACAGAAUACAGGUGGUCACCAGGAGGAGAGGAAGUGUCUGUUUUAAUGUGAUAUUCAUCACAGAAGACAGGUGUAGUCACCAGGAGGAGAGGAAGUGUCUGUUUUAAUGUGAUAUUCAUCACAGAAUACAGGUGGUCACCAGGAGGAGAGGAAGUGUCUGUUUUAAUGUGAUAUUCAUCACAGAAUACAGGUGGUCACCAGGAGGAGAGGAAGUGUCUGUUUUAAUGUGAUAUUCAUCACAGAAUACAGGUGUAGUCACCAGGAGGAGAGGAAGUGUCUGUUUUAAUGUGAUAUUCAUCACAGAAUACAGGUGGUCACCAGGAGGAGAGGAAGUGUCUGUUUUAAUGUGAUAUUCAUCACAGAAUACAGGUGUAGUCACCAGGAGGAGAGGAAGUGUCUGUUUUAAUGUGAUAUUCAUCACAGAAUACAGGUGGUCACCAGGAGGAGAGGAAGUGUCUGUUUUAAUGUGAUAUUCAUCACAGAAUACAGGUGUAGUCACCAGGAGGAGAGGAAGUGUCUGUUUUAAUGUGAUAUUCAUCACAGAAUACAGGUGUAGUCACCAGGAGGAGAGGAAGUGUCUGUUUUAAUGUGAUAUUCAUCACAGAAUACAGGUGGUCACCAGGAGGAGAGGAAGUGUCUGUUUUAAUGUGAUA